GGCGAACCGGGCGAACGUUGUUCGGAAUCACUGGGCGUAAAGGGUGCGUAGGCGGGUGGUCCAGUCUGGGGUGAAAUCCCACGGCUCAACCGUGGAAAUGCCUCAGAUACUGACGACCUCGAGGGAGGUAGGGGCGAGCGGAACUGUGGGUGGAGCGGUGAAAUGCGUUGAUAUCCACAGGAACUCCGGUGGCGAAGGCGGCUCGCUGGACCUCUUCUGACGCUGAGGCACGAAAGCUAGGGGAGCAAACGGG
rnacentral:rRNA from 1 species